GGUUUCGUGGUCUAGCGGUACGAUUCUCGCUUAGGGUAAACCCCUGAGUCAAUUUGCAAGAGGUCCCAGUUCAAUCCCCGGCGAAACCC